rnacentral:rRNA from 1 species
UACGUAGGGUGCAAGCGUUGUCCGGAAUUAUUGGGCGUAAAGAGCUCGUAGGCGGUUUGUCGCGUCGGCUGUGAAAUCGUGGGGCUCAACCCCGCGCCUGCAGCCGAUACGGGCAAACUAGAAUUCGGUAGGGGAGACUGGAAUUCCUGGUGUAGCGGUGAAAUGCGCAGAUAUCAGGAGGAACACCGGUGGCGAAGGCGGGUCUCUGGGCCGAUAUUGACGCUGAGGAGCGAAAGCGUGGGUAGCAAACAGG